UAUUGGACAAUGGGCGAAAGCCUGAUCCAGCCAUGCCGCGUGAGUGAUGAAGGCCUUAGGGUUGUAAAGCUCUUUUACCUGGGAAGAUAAUGACUGUACCAGGAGAAUAAGCCCCGGCUAACUUCGUGCCAGCAGCCGCGGUAAUACGAAGGGGGCUAGCGUUGUUCGGAAUUACUGGGCGUAAAGCGCUCGUAGGCGGAUCUUUAAGUCAGAGGUGAAAUCCCAAGGCUCAACCUUGGAACUGCCUUUGAUACUGGGGAUCUCGAGUCCGGGAGAGGUGAGUGGAACUGCGAGUGUAGAGGUGAGAUUCGUAGAUAUUCGCAAGAACACCAGUGGCGAAGGCGGCUCACUAUCCUUGUACUGACGCUGAGGAGGCGAGG
rnacentral:rRNA from 1 species